rnacentral:tRNA from 1 species
GGGAAGGUGGCUCAGUGGUAGAGUGCCUGCUUUGCAUGCAUGAGUUUCUGGGUUCGAUUCCUCAGUGCCA